rnacentral:rRNA from 1 species
GUGGGGAAUCUUCCGCAAUGGACGAAAGUCUGACGGAGCGACGCCGCGUGAGUGAAGAAGGCCUUCGGGUCGUAAAGCUCUGUCAUCGGGGACGAAUGGUCGAUGGAGUGGAAAGCCAUUGAAAUGACGGUACCCGAGAAGGAAGCCACGGCUAACUACGUGCCAGCAGCCGCGGUAAUACGUAGGUGGCAAGCGUUGUCCGGAAUUAUUGGGCGUAAAGCGCGCGCAGGUGGGAUCUUAAGUCUAUUUUGAAAGUUCGGAGCUUAACUCCGUGAUGGGAUAGAAACUGGGAUUCUUGAGUACCGGAGAGGAAAGCGGAAUUCCCCGUGUAGCGGUGAAAUGCGUAGAUAUGGGGAGGAACACCAGUGGCGAAGGCGGCUUUCUGGACGAUGUCUGACGCUGAGGCGCGAAAGCUAGGGGAGCGAACGGGAUUAGAAACCCCAGUAGUCC